rnacentral:rRNA from 1 species
AUUGAGCGCUGGCGGCAGGCCUAACACAUGCAAGUCGAGCGGAUGAAGGGAGCUUGCUCCUGGAUUCAGCGGCGGACGGGUGAGUAAUGCCUAGGAAUCUGCCUGGUAGUGGGGGAUAACGUCCGGAAACGGGCGCUAAUACCGCAUACGUCCUGAGGGAGAAAGUGGGGGAUCUUCGGACCUCACGCUAUCAGAUGAGCCUAGGUCGGAUUAGCUAGUUGGUGGGGUAAAGGCCUACCAAGACGACGAUCCGUAACUGGUCUGAGAGGAUGACCAGUCACACUGGAACUGAGACACGGUCCAGACUCCUACGGGAGGCAGCAGUGGGGAAUAUUGGACAAUGGGCGAAAGCCUGAUCCAGCCAUGCCGCGUGUGUGAAGAAGGUCUUCGGAUUGUAAAGCGCUUUAAGUUGGGAGGAAGGGCAGUAAGUUAAUACCUUGCUGUUUUGACGUUACCAACAGAAUAAGCACCGGCUAACUUCGUG